UCAGUUCGGAUUGAAGGCUGAAAUUCGCCUUCAUGAAGCUGGAAUUGCUAGUAAUGGCAGGUCAGCGUACUGCCGUGAAUACGUUCCCGGGCCUUGUACACACCGCCCGUCACACCAUGAGAGUCGGGAACACCCGAAGUCCGUAGCCUGACCGCAAGGGGGGCGCGGCCGAAGGUGGGUUCGAUAAUUGGGGUGAAGUCGUAACAAGGUACC
rnacentral:rRNA from 1 species